UACGGUAGGGGCAAGCGUUGUCCGGAUUUAUUGGGCGUAAAGAGCUCGUAGGUGGUUCGGUAAGUCGGAUGUGAAAUCUCCAGGCUCAACCUGGAGGGGUCAUUCGAUACUGCCGUGACUAGAGUUCGGUAGGGGAGUGUGGAAUUCCUGGUGGAGCGGUGAAAUGCGCAGAUAUCAGGAGGAACACCCGUAGCGAAGGCGGCACUCUGGGCCGAUACUGACACUGAGGAGCGAAAGCGUGGGGAGCGAACAGG
rnacentral:rRNA from 1 species